rnacentral:rRNA from 1 species
AAACUUUCCAACAACGGAUCUCUUGGUUCUGGCAUCGAUCAAAAACGCAACGAAAUGCGAUAAGUAAUGUGAAUUGCAAAAUUCAGUGAAUCAUCGAAUCUUUGAACGCACAUUGCGCCCGCCAGUAUUCUGGCGGGCAUGCCUGUCCGAGCGUCAUUU